rnacentral:rRNA from 1 species
CCAGGCUUGAUCUCCCUGGAACCUGUAAGAGAUGUUGGGGUGCUCUUCGAAUAACCCUGAUACAGGUGCUGACUGGCUGUCGACCUCUCAUGCCUUGAGGUGUUGGGUUAAGUCCCCCAACGAGCGCUACCCCUGUCCUUAGUUGCCAGCAGGUGAAGCUGGGCACUCUAGGGAGACCGCUUCUGAUAACAGAUAGGAACGUGGGGACUACCUCUAGUCCUCAUGGCCCUUACUCCUGGGGCUACACACGUACUACUAUGGUGCAUACAAAGGGCUAGCAAUCCUCGAGGUACAGCUAAUCCCAACUAAUGCAUCUCACUUACGAUUGGAGUCUGCCACUCGACUCCAUGAACUCCGAAUCGCUACUCAUUCUGGAUCACCAUGUCCCGGUGAAUGCAUUCCC